GCGAUUAUACCAGCGCUAAUGCACCGGAUCCUAUUAGAACUCUUUAGUUAAGCGUGCUUGGGCGAGAGUAGUACUAGGAUGAGUGACCUCCUGGGAAGUCCUCGUGUUACACCCU